rnacentral:rRNA from 1 species
UACGAAGGUGGCAAGCGUUACUCGGAAUUACUGGGCGUAAAGCGCACGUAGGGCGGCUUUCUAAGUCGGGGGUGAAAUCCUGGAGCUCAACUCCAGAACUGCCUUCGAUACUGGAGAGCUUGAGUCCGGGGAGAGGUGAGUGGAACUGCGAGUGUAGAGGUGAAAUUCGUAGAUAUUCGCAAGAACACCAGUGGCGAAGGCGGCUCACUGGCCCGGUACUGACGCUGAGGUGCGAAAGCGUGGGGAGCAAACAGG